rnacentral:rRNA from 1 species
CCUAACACAUGCAAGUCGAGCGAGAAAGUAGCGAUACGAGUACAGCGGCGAACGGGUGAGUAACACUUAGGUAAUCUACCUCUUUGUGGGGGAUAACGUUUCGAAAGGAACGCUAAUACCGCAUAAGCAUGAGAAUCAUAGGGUUCUCAUGGAAAGGGGGCUCGCAAGAGCUCUCGCUGAGAGAUGAGCCUUAGUCCCAUUAGCUAGUUGGUAGGGUAAUGGCCUACCAAGGCUACGAUGGGUAGCUGGUCUGAGAGGACGACCAGCCACACUGGAACUGACACACGGUCCAGACUCCUACGGGAGGCAGCAGUGGGGAAUAUUGCGCAAUGGAGGAAACUCUGACGCAGCGACGCCGCGUGGGUGAUGAAGGCCUUCGGGUUGUAAAGCCCUGUCGGUUGGGAAAAAGGUAGUCGUGCUAACACCACGAUUGCUUGAUGGUACCAGCAAAGGAAGCACCGGCUAACUCUGUGCCAGCAGCCGCGGUAAUACAGAGGGUG